rnacentral:tRNA from 1 species
GGAUAUAGCUCAGUGGUAGAGCAUUUGCCUAGCAUGCAUGAGGCACUGGGUUCAAUUCCCACUAUCACCA